CCCUUUUGACAUAUUUCCAGAAAAGGCAACCAAUGAAAACAACACAACAGACGACUGGGGGAUCAUUAUGGACAUCUGUGAUAAGAUUGGAACGACAGCCAAUGGACCGAAGGACAGCUUGAGAUCCAUCAUGAAGAGAGUCAACCACAAAGUGCCUCAUGUUGCCAUGCAGGCCGUCAACUUGGUGGGUGCUUGUGUUUCUAACUGCGGCAAAAUCUUCCACCUGGAAAUCUGCUCGAGGGAGUUUUCCAGUGAAGUACGGAGUGUGCUCG